GAUGAACGCUGGCGGCGUGCCUAAUACACGCGAGUCGAGCGAACGGACGAGAAGCUUGCUUCUCUGAUGUUAGCGGCGGACGGGUGAGUAACACGUGGAUAACCUACCUAUAAGACUGGGAUAACUUCGGGAAACCGGAGCUAAUACCGGAUGAUAUUUUGAACCGCAUGGUUCAAAAGUGAAAGACGGUCUUGCUGUCACUUAUAGAUGGAUCCGCGCUGCAUUAGCUAGUUGGUAAGGUAACGGCUUACCAAGGCAACGAUGCAUAGCCGACCUGAGAGGGUGAUCGGCCACACUGGAACUGAGACACGGUCCAGACUCCUACGGGAGGCAGCAGUAGGGAAUCUUCCGCAAUGGGCGAAAGCCUGACGGAGCAACGCCGCGUGAGUGAUGAAGGUCUUCGGAUCGUAAAACUCUGUUAUUAGGGAAGAACAUAUGUGUAAGUAACUGUGCACAUCUUGACGGUACCUAAUCAGAAAGCCACGGCUAACUACGUG
rnacentral:rRNA from 1 species